AAGGAAGGCCAAAGAAAGAGCUGCUUAAUAUAGACCAUUACUGAGGCCCACCGAUGGGUGCAACGAGCCUUUUCUUCUGAUUUCCUCCCUGGAAGUAGAGGGGUUGGAAAGGCAGGAAGCGAGGACCUUCCAGAAUAAAAUUCAGGUUUUCCUUGUAAGGGUUGAGAUGUCGCAGAGAUGAAUCAGCCCGCUUUCCGCUGCUGACUCGGUGCUGCUGGGUGUUCAGCAAAGACAUCUGGGCUUGAAGGGCUCUGUGAUCUUCUGGCGUUAGAAUGGGCAACGCUGUUGAGAAACAGGGGCCCCUGCACGGCAGCCAGCUGUGUCCCUGGAAACAAGUGGAAGGGAACACAUGCCAGAUGAUCUCAGAGGUGUCUCUGCAGACUGUGAAUCCGUGCCCAGCAGCUGUGGCCACUGCCACUAAUACCUGCGUGCUCCCCAGAUGUUCAGACCUGCAGAAGGCAUCAUUCUGUUGAGCACCAUGGUCACGGGGGCUUUUUAUGGUGAAUUUCUUUGAAAACGGUUAUUACAGGAUCAGACAUAAUUGAACUGUUCCUCGUGAGCUAAAAUAUUAAACUAACCAGGACAGUCCGUUUUCCCAUUCUGA